CCCUUAGAUGUUCUGGGCCGCACGCGUGCUACACUGAGUGGAUCAGCGGGUCAGGGUGCGCGAAAGCGUUUCCUAAUCUUUAAAUCCGCUCGUGAUGGGGAUUGACGGUUGCAAUUUUCUGUCAUGAACGAGGAAUACCUUGUAAGCGCGGGUCAUCAUCCCGCGCUGAAUACGUCCCUGCCCUUUGUACACACCGCCCGUCGCUCCUACCGAUUGAGUGGUCCGGUGAGGCUUUGGGAUCUGAGCGGAAAGAGCGUUUCGCUGUUUCUGCUCGGAAAACUCAGUCGAACCUUAUCAUUUAGAGGAAGGAGAAGUCGUAACA
rnacentral:rRNA from 1 species